rnacentral:rRNA from 6 species
UCAAAGGAAUUGACGGGGGCCCGCACAAGCGGCGGAGCAUGCGGAUUAAUUCGAUGCAACGCGAAGAACCUUACCAAGGCUUGACAUGAACCGGUAAUACCUGGAAACAGGUGCCCCGCUUGCGGUCGGUUUACAGGUGGUGCAUGGUUGUCGUCAGCUCGUGUCGUGAGAUGUUGGGUUAAGUCCCGCAACGAGCGCAACCCUCGUUCUAUGUUGCCAGCGCGUUAUGGCGGGGACUCAUAGGAGACUGCCGGGGUCAACUCGGAGGAAGGUGGGGACGACGUCAAAUCAUCAUGCCCCUUAUGUCUUGGGCUUCACGCAUGCUACAAUGGCCGGUACAAAGGGUUGCGAUACUGUGAGGUGGAGCUAAUCCCAAAAAGCCGGUCUCAGUUCGGAUUGGGGUCUGCAACUCGACCCCAUGAAGUCGGAGUCGCUAGUAAUCGCAGAUCAGCAACGCUGCGGUGAAUACGUUCCCGGGCCUUGUACACACCGCCCGUCAAGUCACGAAAGUUGGUAACACCCGAAGCCGGUGGCCUAACCCUUGUGGGGGGAGCCGUCGAAGGUGGGACCGGCGAUUGGGACUAAGUCGUAACAAGGUAGCCGUACCGGAAGGUGCGGCUGGAUCACCUCCU